rnacentral:rRNA from 1 species
CCUACGGGGGGCAGCAGUGGGGAAUAUUGCACAAUGGGCGCAAGCCUGAUGCAGCCAUGCCGCGUGUGUGAAGAAGGCCUUCGGGUUGUAAAGCACUUUCAGCGGGGAGGAAGGCGGUGAGGUUAAUAACCUCAUCGAUUGACGUUACCCGCAGAAGAAGCACCGGCUAACUCCGUGCCAGCAGCCGCGGUAAUACGGAGGGUGCAAGCGCUAAUCGGAAUUACUGGGCGUAAAGCGCACGCAGGCGGUCUGUCAAGUCGGAUGUGAAAUCCCCGGGCUCAACCUGGGAACUGCAUUCGAAACUGGCAGGCUAGAGUCUUGUAGAGGGGGGUAGAAUUCCAGGUGUAGCGGUGAAAUGCGUAGAGAUCUGGAGGAAUACCGGUGGCGAAGGCGGCCCCCUGGAUAAAGACUGACGCUCAGGUGCGAAAGCGUGGGGAGCAAACAGGAUUAGAUACCCCUGUAGUC